rnacentral:rRNA from 1 species
UACAGGGGGUGCAAACGUUGCUCGGAAUCAUUGGGCGUAAAGCGCACGUAGGCGGUCUGUUAUGUCGGAUGUGAAAGCCCUUGGCUUAACUGAGGAAGUGCAUCCGAAACUGGCAGGCUAGAGUACUAAAGAGGGUCGCGGAAUUCCCGGUGUAGAGGUGAAAUUCGUAGAUAUCGGGAGGAACACCAAUGGCGAAGGCAGCUCGCUGGGACGUUACUGACGCUGAGACGCGAAAGCGUGGGGAGCAAACAGG